rnacentral:rRNA from 1 species
GACGUAGGGCGCGAGCGUUGUCCGGAUUUAUUGGCGUAAAGAGCUCGUAGGCGGUUGUCGCGUCUGCUGUGAAAUCCCGAGGCUCAACCUCGGGUCUGCAGUGGGUACGGGCAGGCUAGAGUGCGGUAGGGGAGAAUGGAACUCCUGGUGUAGCGGUGGAAUGCGCAGAUAUCAGGAAGAACACCGAUGGCGAAGGCAGUUCUCUGGGCCGUAACUGACGCUGAG